UACGAAGGGUGCAAGCGUUAAUCGGAAUUACUGGGCGUAAAGCGCACGUAGGCGGCUACUCAAGUCAGAGGUGAAAGCCCAGGGCUCAACCUUGGAACUGCCUUUGAAACUAGGUAGCUAGAAUUCUGGAGAGUCAGUGGAAUUCCGAGUGUAGAGGUGAAAUUCGUAGAUAUUCGGAAGAACACCAGUGGCGAAGGCGGACUGACUGG
rnacentral:rRNA from 1 species